UCGCUAUGGUUAUUGCGGAUGUGGCUUGAAGCUGAGAUUGCGGUUGUUGUUGAUUUCGGGUUAAGGCGGAAAGGACUCUGUGACGCGUUUGGAUUAUGGAAUUGCGUUUUGAGGAUAUGGGCGCAGAAGUUACGAAGAAUUUAUUUAGUUAUUGUUGUGAUGUUCUGUAUUGCUUUAGAUUACUAAUUAUUGUACCCUCGCCUUUAUCUUGAUAUAUUCUGUAAGAGGGAUAGGAAUUGUAUUGGUUAAUGUCUGUAAUAUUAUUUAUAUAUAUGUAUGUAUAUAUAUGGAUGUACUCUUUAUGAGUUUUUGUAAGUUGUAUGGUUUCUAUGGAUGUACGUUAUCGAACGAAAGUAUUUUUGGGAA